rnacentral:lncRNA from 1 species
AAACCAUGGAGAAACGUGAAAACUCAAAUGUGCCCCGAACCAGUCUCAACCCCCAAGUCAAGGAAUGCAAAAGGUCUUGAAGUCGUUUUCUUUCUGGAUUUCUGGCUGCAAUCCAGUGACACCUGACGGCGGUGGCGAGGGGGAUCCUGAUAGCUGAUUGGCCGCGGCAAGGAUCCUGAAGGAGGCCGCGGUCUGCCAGUGCACCCAGGCCCCAGCUGUGACUCAGCCGCCGCUCUCCAGCACGGGGAGAGGGAACUCUCCGCCCGCCCGCGGACCCACCCCCGGCGCGAGCCGUGACGUCUCCCGGAAUUCACAGCUGCCCUCUCUCCCCGCUGGGCUCCCCC